rnacentral:rRNA from 1 species
GACGAACGCUGGCGGCGUGCUUAACACAUGCAAGUCGAACGGAAAGGCCCUGCUUUUGCGGGGUGCUCGAGUGGCGAACGGGUGAGUAAAACGUGAGUAACCUGCCCUUGUCUUUGGGAUAACUUCAGGAAACUGGGGCUCAUACCGGAUAGGAGCUCUUGCUCCAUGGUGUGCGUUGGAAAGUUUCGGCGGUUGGGGAUGGACUCGCGGCUUAUGCGCUUGAUGGUGGGGUAGUGGCUUACCAAGGCUAUGACGGGUAGCCGGCCUGAGAGGGUUACCGGCCACAUUGGGACUGAGAUACGGCCCAGACGCCUACGGGAGGCAGCAGGGGGGAAGAUUGCACAAUGGGCGGAAGCCUGAGGCAGCAGCGCCGCGUGCGGGAUGACGGCCUUCGGGUUGUAAACCGCUUUCGCCUGUGACGAAGCGAGAGUGACGGUAAUGGGUAAAGAAGCACCGGCUAACUACGUG